GUUGAUACUGUCUGGCUAGAAUUUGAGGUUGCUGUGAGGGGUGGAAUGUGUGGUGUAGCGGUGAAAUGCUUAGAUAUCACACAGAAUAUCGAUUGUUUCGAAGGCAGCUCAGGGCAUAAGCCAUUAUUGACGCUGAGGCACGAAAGUGUGGGGAUCAAACAGGAUUAGAUUUUACCCUGGUAGUCGGGCACACUGUAAACGAUGAUAACUCGCUGUCGGCGAUACACAGUCGGUGGCCAAGCGUUUAAAGCGAUAAGUUGGGAUCCACCUGGGGAGUACGACCGCAAGGUUGAAACUCAAAGGAAUUGACGGGGGCUUUUUUCCGCACAAGCGGAGGGGGAACAUGUGGUUUAAUUCGAUGAUACGCGAGGAACCUUACCCGGGCUCGAACGGCUUUAGAAUAUAUCGGGAGAGAUGGUAUAGCCAGCAAUGGCUGAAGUCGAGGUGCUGCAUGGUUGUCGUCAGCUCGUGCCGUGAGGGGGGGGUGUCGGCUUAAGUGCCAUAACGAGCGCAACCCUUGUCGUUAGUUACCAUCUUUAGGUCAUGCUGGGGGGGACUCUGGGAACGAGACUGCCACCGUAAGGUGUGAGGAAGGGGGGGAUGACGUCAAAUCAGCACGGCCCGGGUUACGUCCGGGGGGGCGACACACGUGUUACAAUGGUAGGUACAGAGGGCAGCUAUUUCCCAGUGAUGGGAUGGGGCGAAUCUCUAAAGCCUGGGAUCUCAGUUCGGAUUGGAGUCUGCAACUCGACUCUUUCAUGAAGUUGGAUUGGGCGCUAGUAAUCGCGCAUCAGCCAGGGUGGCGCGGUGAAUACGUUCCCGGGCCUUUUUGUACACACCGCCCGUCAAGCCAUGGAAGCUGGGGGUGCCUGAAGGGGUUCGUGACCGCAAGGAGCGACCUAGGGCAA
rnacentral:rRNA from 1 species